AUGGCAGCCGAGCCGCUCUCCAAUGGCGCCACCCACCUGUUGGUGCCUGGACGCUACAUACUCCCGGUCCACAAGAGGCCGUCUUCUUCCGUGAAUGGCAAGGGGGCGCUGCCUGUGGUUGAUCUCGGCGGAGACGACGACGGCAGGAUCGCCGAGGAGAUCGUCCGUGCAGGGCGGGAGUUCGGUUUCUUCCAGGUGGUCAACCACGGCGUGCCGGAGGAGGUGAUGGGCGCCAUGAUGCGCGCCGCGGAGGAGUUCUUUGCACUGCCAGCGGAUGAGAAGAUGGCGUACUACUCGAACGACCGCAAGAAGCUCCCGCGGUUCCACACGAGCCUCCGGAACGGUACCGGCGAGGAGGUCCUGUACUGGCGGGACUGCCUCAAGCUCGGCUGCCACCAGCCCGAGUGGCUGGACAAGCCGCGCGGGCUCGGGGCGGCGCUGGAGCCGUACACGGCCGCCGUGAGGGCAGCGGCGCGGCGCGUUCUGCGCCUCACCGCUAUCGGGCUGGGGCUCGAGGAGGGACACUUCGAUGGGUCGCUCAGCGGCAGUGGGUUGAUGAACGUGAACCACUACCCGCCGUGCCCGGACCCGAGCCUCACCCUUGGCGCCGGGCCGCACUGCGACCCCGGCCUCGUCACCGUGCUCAUGGAGAACGUCGGCGGCGGCCUACAGAUGCUGCUCCACGGCGACGGAGACGCUGGGGGCGGCGGGGUGAUGUGGGUGGACGUGGACGCCGCGCCGGGGGCGCUGGUCCUCAACUUUGGGCAUCAGAUGGAGGUGGUCAGCAACGGGCGCUUGCGCAGUGCCGAGCACCGCGUCGUCACCAGCGCGCGCGGCGCGCGGACCUCGCUGGCCACGUUCGUGUGGCCCGAGCCGGGGUGCACUGUCGCGCCGGCGCAGGAGCUGGUGCUGGCAGCAGGCGAGGGGCCUCUAUACAAGCCCCACUCCUACGGCGAAUUUCUCGGUGCGUACCUUGCCGAGGGUGGGGUCAAGGAAGCCGCCAUGGCGCAUCUCAAGCACUGA
rnacentral:rRNA from 1 species